UACGUAGGGGCCGAGCGUUGUCCGGAGUUACUGGGCGUAAAGCGCGCGCAGGCGGCGAUCUACGUCUGGGGUGAAAGCCCGGAGCUCAACUCCGGGACUGCCUUGGAUACGGGAUCGCUUGAGGAUUGGAGAGGCAAGGGGAAUUCCACGUGUAGCGGUGAAAUGCGUAGAGAUGUGGAGGAACACCUGUGGCGAAGGCGCCUUGCUGGCCAAUUACUGACGCUGAGGCGCGAAAGCGUGGGGAGCAAACAGG
rnacentral:rRNA from 1 species